AUUGUCGAAAAUUUUCUCGGAAGAACGGGGAAGCAAUUUUAAUACAUUUAAGUUCUAGGUCGCCCACCAGUAUAAUGCGGGAAUACUUUUAAGUUCUAGGUCGCCCACCAGUAUAAUGCGGGAAUACAUUUAAGUUCUAGGUCGCCCACCAGUAUAAUGCGGGAAUACAUUUAAGUUCUAGGUCGCCCACCAGUAUAAUGCGGGAAUACUUUUUAGUUCUAGGUCGCCCACCAGUAUAAUGCGGGAAUACUUUUUAGUUCUAGGUCGCCCACCAGUAUAAUGCAGGAAUACUUUUUAGUUCUAGGUCGCCCACCAGUAUAAUGCGGGAAUACUUUUUAGUUCUAGGUCGCCCACCAGUAUAAUGCGGGAAUACAUUUAAGUUCUAGGUCGCCCACCAGUAUAAUGCGGGAAUACAUUUAAGUUCUUGGUCGCCCACCAGUAUAAUGCGGGAAUACUUUUAAGUUCUAGGUCGCCCACCAGUAUAAUGCGGGAAUACUUUUAAGUUCUAGGUCGCCCACCAGUAUAAUGCGGGAAUACUUUUUAGUUCUAGGUCGCCCACCAGUAUAAUGCGAGA
rnacentral:lncRNA from 1 species